rnacentral:rRNA from 1 species
CUACGGGAGGCAGCAGUAGGGAAUAUUGGACAAUGGGGGAAACCCUGAUCCAGCGAUGCCGCGUGAAUGAUGAAGGCCUUCGGGUCGUAAAGUUCUUUUCUGAGGGAAGAACUGUUGGGCGAGGAAAUGCGCCUGAUUUGACGGUACCUCAGGAAUAAGCAACGGCUAACUCCGUGCCAGCAGCCGCGGUAAUACGGAGGUUGCAAGCGUUGUUCGGAAUAACUGGGCGUAAAGGGAGCGCAGGCGGCUUGGUAAGUCUAAAGUGAAAUUCCAGGGCUCAACCCUGGACGUGCUUUGGAUACUGCCUGGCUUGAGUACGUGAGAGGAGAUUGGAAUUCCAGGUGUAGCGGUGAAAUGCGUAGAUAUCUGGAGGAACACCGGUGGCGAAAGCGGAUCUCUGGCACGUUACUGACGCUGAGGCUCGAAAGCAUGGGGAGCAAACGGGAUUAGAUACCCCAGUAGUCC